UCCAAGAUGAAACUUCGGAGGUCCAGGGGUGCAGGGGCUUCAAAUCUGUAACCGACGUUUAAAAGCGGAGUGGUUCAAUUCCACCUUCUGGGCG